UAUAUACAUUCAUAUGUUGUUUUCUAGUAGAAAUUUUAAAUAGACUUAUAUUCAUAUGUAUGACCGUAUAAAAUGAUCGUGGAAGGCGGCUGACUCCAUGAAUUGAUUUCAUCUCUCGGAAGUUCCACACAAUCUUCUCAAUCUUGGGGGUCACGUGGAAGUUGAUGUCAGUAAUGUCUGCUCCUUUGAUGAGAAUAAACUCAAGAUUUUUGAAUACUCCUUCCUAAAGGGUCAUUUGUUGUUUCCACACGGAGUGAGAGAGAGAGGAGGCUCUGGUUCAGCCUCUUAACUCUUCGCUGAUACAUAAUAUGCUAUCAUUUCCUUCUUUUUCCUUUGAUUUAGGCCUGAUGGUCUGCAAGACAAAGAUGGGGGAGUACGGGAGCUGAUUGUUGGGAAGGAUGAUGAGCUUCUCCAGACUGACACUAAGGCGAUUCCUAGAGCUGAUGUGGCCGAAGUUUGUGUUCAGGCCCUGCAAUAUGAAGAGGUAAAAUUCAAGGCAUUCGAUUUGGGCACCUCGACGAAGGAUUUCAAAGCGCUGUUCUCCCAGGUCACAGCCCGGUUUUGAGCCGUCAGUCACAAAGCAUGCUGCCAUUUCUAGAAGGAUCCUAGUGUGUAAGCUUUUGUGCAUUAUGGAGUUGCUGACUGGUGUAAUUGCACAAUCGGGUUAUCAAUAAUGCUGAAAAUAAACUCCUGCCGAUGCAUGGAGAUUGGAGAA